GCGAGGGACGGAGGGCUGCCAUCGUCGUGCGUUAAUCGGACGCACGGCUGCCACCGUCAUGCGGUAAUCGGACGUACGGCGUUGCCUCGGAUCCUCUGUCGUCUGCAGUGUUCUCAAAGCCAUGAUGAGACGUUGCUUGCAAGUCUCGAUGACGUCGCUUGGGAACGCGCGCGGUGCGUUCGUUCCUCGAAAACGACUGCUGCUGCUGCUCCUGCUGGCUGGCGGCGGCGUUCUGUUUGUCCUGUCGUCCCCCUCACUCAAGAUCAAUGACCGACAAGACAGAUCCGUGUCGGAGGACUGCACCGGCUGCAGCGCGUGGGACCGCGCCCGCGCCGUCGAAGCGCU